CCAAAUGGAAACACAAGUUUCAAACAUAAAUUUUAAACUCAAAGUUAAUUCUAUUUAGGAUAGACAUUGUUACAUACCUUGAAAUUGAAAACAUAAAUAGGGAACUGACUGGAUAAAGGUCAAGGAGAAAAAAGACAAGGAGCUUCAGCCACCAAACACAGUAGUGAAACAGCAACCAAAAUCCUAGGAGAAGAAUUUUCAACUUUAAACCAUUUUCUACUGAUGAAAAACCAGAAAUCUUCAAAGAAGUUCUUCAACUUUUACUAAAAUUAGACAAUUGAUUUUUUAGAGUGUAUUUUUCUUAGGGUUUUCAAUUCUGAUGUGUUUUCAGAAAUUUUUGUGCAGAAAAUGAUGCUGAAUAUCUGUUUUUCAGAACCUUUUAGGUAGAGAAUAAUGCUGAAUGUGUUUGUGUGAGUGAGAGAAUGUUUCUCUUUUAUAGAGUGUACCAAAAUGCAUCAAAAGGCAUAUUCUAACCUAAUUUUUUCUGAAAAUUAGAAUGGUACAACAUCUUUUACAGCUGUCUGUCCUUUUCCUCAUCCAAUAUCAGCAUUUUAGAGUAAGGACAGAGAUAACUAUGAAAAGUCUAGAAGAUUAUGAUAUUUAGCCUAUGUGAAAGUCCAUUUUUACUCCUUUAAUUACUGCCUAUUUCAAUUUUACCCUAUGUUCUGAUUUUAAAAUCAAUUACAACCAGUUCAAGGCUUUCAGCCAAGUGAUUAAGUUGCCUAAGUGUGUUGCAUUUCAGUUUCUGAAUUUAAACUAAGGUUUAAAUGGCUGUUCAGAGGCUCAAACCUAAGCUUAAAAUCAAUUAAACCUAAGUAAUUAAAACAUGUAGGCAAUCAAAUUUAGGCUCAAAAAGUUACUGAUAUCUAGCAUGUUUAGGCCAAGGAAACCACAAAUCAAAACCAAGCUAAAUUCAGAAUAAGGAAAAAAAUGAAAAUGAAUCCGGCUAAAACUAAAGAAAGUAGGAAUUGGCUAAAAUAGGCUAUUGAUUAACCUUUUAACACAGAACUUGCAAGAACAACCAAAAUAAACAAAACAAAAGCAAGAAUUAAAAAUAAAAGGAGAAACAAGAAUAGGUGAAUUAUAAGAAAACUAAACCUAAUCAUUUCAAUCUAACAAUCUGGACCCGUGCAAUAUUGAAAUCCUAGAACAUACAAUUAAAGAAGCUAAUAGACAGAAAACCUAAAUUAUACUGCUAAGUCAAGCAGUUAACAGAAAAAGGGGGAAACUAAACAAAAACCAAGAGGAAACUAAAGAACAAAAACAAACAAAAGAAAAUGUUAUAAGAAAUUACCUAAUGCCUAAUUCAUUCAAAGAUGAACACUGAACCAGUUUCGAACUCUAAUCCCAAUUUCUGAGUACAAAUGAACUUUAGACAACCAUCAAUCCACUACUCUUAUCAAGAGCAAUAAACUCAUGGAAGUCUUGGGUUCAAAAGCCCCAAUAAUUACUGAAAAAUUGAAGGUGAAAGAAAAUUAGGGUUCUAGAAUCUUGGAUUCAAAAUUCGAUGAGGCUGGGGCUGAUUCAAAGAGGGAUAAAGGUGGUUUAGGGUUCAGAGAGGUGUUGGGGUUAUGGGGUGUGUAUUUGGGGCCAUUUGGAACACUUAGGGUUUUGGGGGUUCUUACUUCGAUCUAAGAUUCGAAGGUUUUGAUGAUUAUUUGGGAAAAAUGGCUAAGGGAUUUGGAAAGAGGAGAGGAUGAGGAGUGUCUGGUGCGAAAUUGGUGUUGUUUGGGGUGCCGGAACCAUCGUGAGGCGAUUUCCGGUGGCGGUUGGCGGCGAAGACGACGAGGAAUAUAGGGGCGGCUAGGGUUUUGGGGUUAGGGGUGUUAGAGAUGAAAUGAGGGGUUC
rnacentral:lncRNA from 1 species